AUACGGAGGGUGCAAGCGUUGUCCGGAUUUAUUGGGUUUAAAGGGUGCGUAGGUGGUUUUUUAAGUCAGUGGUGAAAGCCUACAGCUUAACUGUAGAGGUGCCAUUGAAACUGGGGAACUUGAGUAUGGACGAGGUAGGCGGAAUUUGUGGUGUAGCGGUGAAAUGCAUAGAUACCACAAAGAACACCGAUAGCGAAGGCAGCUUACUAGGCCAUAACUGACACUGAGGCACGAAAGUGUGGGGAGCGAGCAGGAUUAGAAACCCUAGUAGUCC
rnacentral:rRNA from 1 species